rnacentral:misc_RNA from 1 species
AAGUCGUAACAAGGUUUCCGUAGGUGAACCUGCGGAAGGAUCAUUAACACAAAAUAAUCCAUUUACCUAACCCCAAACAAGAAGUUAAACUUUUGACUUCAUUGUCAUGGUUUCUCUUCUUUCGAAAGAAUUAGUUACCUUGAUGUCUUUUUCUCCCUUUCGAGGAAGAAACUGAUAUCUCAAUUAUUUUAACUUACAAACCCCAUUAACCAAUCAACUCUAUUUUGACUUAGUUAAUUUUUGUAAUUAAAAAAAUAAAAUAAGACACAACUCUUAGCAACGGAUAUCUUGGUUCUCGU